rnacentral:lncRNA from 1 species
AGUUGUCCACCAUUUGAGACAUUAUUGCAAUUUUUCUCAUCAACACCCCUUCUCAAGUUAGAGACCGUCGAUCGGACUCCUAAUUUGCUCAGAAGUGAACGAUGUAUAGAACCAGCCAAAGCUUUUGUGAAUAGAUCUGCUCGUUGAGAAGUAGAAGGAACAAAGGAAAGAGAUAUCAGUCCAUCAAGCAAUUUUUCACGAUCGAAAUGGCAAUCAAGCUCGAUGUGCUUGGUUCGUUCGUGAAAGGCCAGAUUUUUUGCUGUAUGAAUGGCAGCUUGGCUAUCACAAUGUAAAGGAACUGGCAAAGAUGGCGCAGCAGAUAGAUCAUGUAGGAGACGAACCACCCAAGUUAUCUCUGCAACUAGCCUCUACAUGGAUCUAUAUUCGGCCUCUGCCGAGGAAAGUGCUACCACUGGUUGUUUCUUCGAUUUCCAAUAGAUUGGGCAUCCUCCUAAGCUUAGGAAGAAACCACUUACAGAGCGUCUAGUGUCGGAACAAGAGGCCCAGUCUGAAUUGCAGUAAGCUAGGAGCUGGAAUGACGGCUCAGGUGUAAGAAAUAAGCCCAAUCCUGGAUCUUUACACAAAUACCUGAGUGUGUGCAUAGCUGCCUCAUAAUGUCCAGUGCAAGGAUUAUGCAUGUAUUGACUGAGAUUUUGAACGGCAAAAGAGAGAUCGGGCCGGGUGUUGGUCAAAAAAUUCAAUUUUCCAAUGAGUCUUCUGUAGAUAAUUGGGUCUGAUAAAGGAGUACUACAAUCAGCUGUGAGCUUGAUGAAUGGGAUCCAAAGGGGUAGAUACAGAUUUGGACCCCAGACAAUUGAAUUCUGCGAGGAGUUCUAGACUAAACUUUCAUUGUGUUAUAACCAAUCCACCCCCCCUCACGAACAAGCUCCAAACCCAAAAAAUAAUGAGCUUUACCCAAAUCCUUAAUCUUGAAUUCUAAAUCCAAAAAUUGUUUCAUGUCAUCAAUCUCCUGCUUGUUGUUCCCAGUGAGUAAUAUAUCAUCUACGUACACUGCGAGGAUUGUAACCAUAUCUCCAAAGACCUUAUAGAACAAAGAAUAAUCAUUCAGCGAGGAAGUGAAACCUCGAGUCUUUAAUGCAGACGACAACCUGGAAUACCAUUGGCGGGAAGCUUGUUUAAGUUCAUACAAGGAUUUACGCAGCCUGCAAACAUGAGAGGAAGAGGGAGGAUACAGACCAGGGGAAAUUGCAUAUAGACUCCCUCAUCUAAGUCACCGUGAAGAAACACAUUAUUGAAUUCCAAUUGAUACAGAUCCUAGUCCCUUUUGAAAGCAAUUGAGAGAAUGCAUCGGAUGGUUAUCAUCUUAACCACCAGAGAAAAAGUUUCGGUAUAAUCUAAUCCUUGUCUCUGUGUAUCACCACGUAUCACUAGCCUUGCUUUUAGUCUUUCUAAGAUCCCAUCGGAUCUCAAUUUAACUUUGUACACCCAUUUUCAGGGCAAGGCCUUCUUCCCUUGUGGCAAUUGCACAAUAUCCCAAGUUCGGUUGGGGACUCUAAAGCAGCAAAUUCUUGAUCCAUUGCAAGUUUCCACCCAGGGUGCAGAACUGCUUGUCGAAAAUAGGUAGGUUCACUUAUUUGAUAAAUAGAGCUAAUUAUACCUUGAUUCUGUGGGGUUAAAGCAUAAAAAGAGAAUGAAUGAAGAGGAAGGCAAGGGGGAUUAGGAGAGAUAAUAGAAAAACCUGAGUUGCAAAUGUAAUCAGAAAGAUAUUUAGGAGCAUGGUGCUCUCUUAGUGAUCUGCGCAAUACCUGGCCAGGUGCUGAGGAAAACACUUCAGGUGCAACAGAAGGAGAAAAAAAAGGAGACCCAUUAUAAUGAGAGGAAGUAGGUGAAACGGGAGAAUAAGAAGGAGAAAUAGGAGAUUGAGGGGAAGGAAUAGUUGAAGGAGUAGUGACAUGAGUAGAUGAAGUAGCAGAUUGAGUAAUAUCGUUGCUGACAUGAGGAAAUGAUGGAAGAAAAGAAGCAGAAUCACUAGAAUUAGGAAAUGAGGCAGGAAACAAUUUAUUCAUUGGGGUAGAAUAAGAGAAAGGGAAGAUGUGUACCACAAAAUUAACAUCCCUAGAGAUGGAAAUCCGAUUAGUCUGUAGGUUUAAGAUCUUGUACCUCUUCUUUCCAAAGGGGUACCCCAGAAAAACACCAGGAAAGGCUCUUGGACUGAGUUUAUCUCUCUUUCUAUGUAAAGUGGAGCAGAAUCACAAAUAACCAAAGGGUCAUAAUAGGUGUAAUCAGGCUUUGUCCCAAAAAGAACUUGAUAGGGAGACUUGUUCUUAAGAACUCUAGAAGGGAACCUGUUUAGCAGAUGUGUAGCUGUCAAAAUACAAUCCCCCCCAGAACUUAUUUGGAACAUGUGAUUGGAACAAUAGAGAUCUACAAGUUUCCAAUAAAUGUCUAUGUUUAUGCUCUACCACACCAUUUUGUUGUGGAGUGGCCACACAGGUGGUUUGAUGAAUAAUCCCUUGUGACUGAAAGAAAGCUUUAGGAAUUUCUCUUGCUCCUAGUUCAUAGACAUUGUCUGACCUGAUUAUUCUAACCUUGAUACAAAAUUGUCUUUCCACAAGUGCCAAAAAUAAUUGCAAAGUAGGAAAGGAAUCUGACUUGGAACUAAGUAAGAAUGUCCAAGUACAUCUGGAAAAAUCAUCAACGAUAGUGAGAAAAUAUCUUUCCCCCUUAUAACUUGGUACACAAUUAGGUCCCCAUGUGUCUAUGUAUAUUAGAUCAAAACAAUGCUUAGAAGUAACUGCACUAAUGGGAAAUGAAGGUUUAGAUUGUCUUGCCAUAGGGCAGACUUCACAAGGGAAAUGCUGUUUACAUGAAGUUGGAAUUGAAAUGUCUGCUAUAUUUUUCAUUGCAUUAUAGGGUAGAUGCCCCAAUCUGUAAUGCCACAAUUUAUCUGAACUCUGAAGCAACAGCAUGAAGAACAGAAACAUUUUCAUUGAUGUUUGAAACUUCAUGACAAACAGGACUGAAAGAACCAUGGCACAAAGGCCUUGGAAAAAUAGAGAUUGGGCAUGGAACAUUGGACUGGACACUAGACACUGGGCAUGGAAUAUUGGACUGGACACUAGACAAAGGACUGCUCUUCAAAGAAACUGGAUGAUGAUCGUGGGAGGUAGAAUCCUUCUUGAGAGUGUUAUUCCUCAGCACAUAUAGCCCAGCAUUCGCAUCACCAAAAACUAGAUCCCUCUUCAUUGAAGGGACCUGUAGAGAACAAUCAAGUCUAGAAAAAAUUAGUAAACAACCAAAUUGCACACAAAGCCUAUAAAUGGAUAGUAAGUUAUGCUGGAAUGUAGGCACAAAAAACAAAUUAUGCAACUCAAGAUCUGGGCUCAAGUGUAGACUACCAACACAUGUAACUCUAACUUUGUAAGAAUUAGGCAAAGUUACUAAAAUAGGAGUACUAAUAUGUUUGAUGUUAUGCAGGAGAGACACAUCAAAUGUCAUAUGUUGAGUAUCCCCAGAGUCAAUGAUCCAGAUGUUGUUGGUUAACUUGGAAAAAAAGAAGCAAAUAUGUGACCAUUGUCCCUGGUUUCAUAGUGAGAAAAAAAUAAGGUGAAGAGGUGACAAGCAGCAGCUGUACUAGCCAGAUUUGCACUUGCAAUGGCCUCAGAGUUAGAUGCACCAGAAUUUCCACCAGAUUGGAACAACUGUACCAAUUUUUCACAUUGUUCCUUGGUGAAAGUUUGACUGCUCACAAGACUUGAUAGAGGAUUCCCUGUAUUUUUUGACAUAAGCAACUCCUCUGAGUUCACUGCAUUUGCAUAUUGAUUUGUAAAGCUACUCCUUUUCUGUCUGUUGUUGAAUUUGAAAUGUUGCAGAUAUCCUACCAGCUUGUAGCAAUCUUCUGUUAGGUGUCCUGAUUUUUUGCAAUACCUACAGUAUAAGUCACUCUUCUUUCCAUCUGUAGCAGCAGGUGUAUUUCCUCCUUUUGACUCGAACACUUUCUUUUGUUGUGUCCACUUCUGUCCAUUGAUAAGAAAAGGCAGAAGCAUCAUUACAAAUCUGAUUGUUAGAGUGUACCUGCCUUUGAGACUCUUCAUGUAGGACAAUAGAAUAGGCCUGAGCUGCAGUAGACAGUGGCUUCAUCAUCAAUAUGUUUCCUCAUGUUCCACUGUAACUGUCGUUGAGUCCUAUUAAGAGCUGGAUCAAUUUUUGAUCCUCAUUCACCUUAUGGUUGUGAGACUUAGCUUCACACUUGCAUUCACAGGUACAAGUCAUGAAAGUAUUGAGUUCCUUCAUUUAAUGCCAGAUCUUCUCAAGUUUGUUGAAGUAUCCUGCUAUAUCAUAUUGUUCAGUUCCCUUUGAAGCUGAAACAGUUUGGUUCCAUCAGCUUGACCAUACCUCUCCUCCAACUCAUCCCAUAACUUAGCCGCUGUUUGAGAGUAUAUAACACUCUCUGCAAUUUCUUUGCUCAAAGAAUUAAGUAGCCAAGUUAGGACCAUAUCGUUGCAUCUCUGCCAUCGUACUAAUAGUUUUGAAUCAUUUUGUGGUAUGGGACAUGUACCACUGAUGAAGCCAAGCUUCUUUUUGGCGGAUAAAGAGAUAAGGACCCCCCUUCUGCAGUCUCCAAAGCUUGUUCCAUCAAAGUUGGUAUUGAUCAGAUUCAUACCUGGUGAAUCUGAUGAGUUAAGGAAAUAGGGAUGGGAAGCAUCAAUCUGCUAUCCAUUUCCCUGAGUUAUAGGAACCACAGUCGAUGUAUCAUGACCCAUGGUUGUGGGAAUCAAAAGAGACAGGAAGUCUCAAAGAAGAAAGGAAUAGAAGGAGAGGAAAAGAAAAACUUCAGAGAAAGAAAAAAAAAUGAGUUCAAGCUCCUGAUACCAUGAAGGUUUUGAAGAAUUUCAUCAUAGAAGAAUUUUUGUAUUCAUGCCUCUUCGUAAUGUGCAAUGAAGCUGUGUAAAUAUACAAAGAGAAAAGAUGCCUCACGAGGCCAAGGGAUCCUAUGCUAAUCAUCUCCUCACAGAAAAAUAAAUUAAGAAAAGAUAUUAUUUAUACAAGCUAUUACUAAAAUGCUCUAAGUAAGAAUUUUCCAGAACAUCACAGUUGUCCACCAUUUGAGACAUUAUUGAAAUUUUUCUCAUCAACAGUUUUUGGGUUCGCGAAAGUCGCGUAGAGUAGCAGCAACCAACAAAUUCAAAAUUUCACGUGGUUGUGGCAAAGAUUUUGACUUUGUCCUUGUAAUCAUGUGAUGAGUAUUGUCAAGUGAGCUUGAGGAGGAUGCUGGAUUGGUCUGAAGUGUGGUGAGAUCGACAAGAGGAUCAAUUCUUGAAACAUCAAGAGGAGUUGAUUCACCAGCGCUCGUUUGUGCGCCGAAGUAGAGAGCUCGGAAUUGGGUGAUUGUAAACUUGUUUCUGGGCUAGUUGGCGGCGAACCAGAUUCUGUAGAGUUGCAUUGUUGAACUUUGAGGUAUAAAAACUUCAUUCUGGGAGUUGCAUGAUCGACUUUCAUCAUUAUUGGUGUCUCCUUUUUGUUCAACGAAUUCACUGUAAGUAGUCAUAUGAGAGUUUUGACAUGUAGUAGUAUCCUGUGGAACACUUGAAACAAAAGGUAAGAAUUGUUCAUCAAAUAUCACACGUCUGGAUAUAUAAACCAAUCCUCUUCGUUUGAGGAUGAUAGCACAUAUACCCCUUGUGCAAGGUACUAUAACCAAUAAAUAUACAGGGAAAUGUCUUUGGUUGAAACUUCUUGUUGUUAUACCCUUUAUCUACAACUAAUAUCUUUAAGCCACCAUAGUCUGGUAUCUUGUUAUAUAAUUUCUGAAGAGGAGAGCACAUCUUCAAAACAAGCGUAGGGAGUCUAUUUAUGAGAUAAGAUGCAGUCAUAAAAGCUUCAACUCAGAGAAACAAAGGCACACCUGUAUUAAACAAUAAAGUUAACCCAGUCUUAACUAAGUGACGGUGUUUUCUUUUGCCAACCCCAUUUUGCUCAGGUGCAUGAGGGCAUGACACUUGCCUUUGAAUUCCACACUUCGUAAGAUGAUCAAUAAAUACUUGACUAUUAAACUCUCCUCCUCCAUCACACUAAAAUAUUUUAAAUUUUUUUUAUCCAUACUGAUUUUCCACCAGCAUUUGAAAAUUGACAAAGGUGGUGAAAAAAUUCGACUUCUUUUUAACGAAUAAAACCAAGUAUAUUUUGUAUGAUCAUCAAUAAAUAUAACAUAAUAUUUUAUGCCUUGAGGUCCAAUCCAUUCUUGGGGUCAAAUAAAGACAAAAAAGGAAGUAUCAGGCGAAGGACCCCAUAAAUUACAAUGAACUUUGAUAAGAGGUUCAAUCUCACUUUUAUUUGAAUUCUCAAUAGGUAGCUUACCACUUUUUCCCAUUUGACAUGAAGUGCAAAUAGAAAAGUUUUUGUUCCAACUACUAAAGCUAACUAAUCUGUUGGAAUGUAAAAAUUUCAUUGUCCUAGAAUUAGGAUGCCCUAGUCUUUGAUGCCAGACUUAAUCUGAUGCUUUAUUUGAACGUAUAGCAGCUAAAGCUCGAUGCACCUCUUCAUCUGCUUUAUUUUAAUCCAAGGCAUAUUGGUAUCCUUUCCUACUCCCUUCUGCCAGUAGGUUCCUUGUUUUCUUGUCCUUAACAACAAAAUCACAAUCAGUAAAUUCCAAAAGACAUGCAUUGUCGCUUGCAAGUUUGCUGACAGACAAUAAGUUUUUCUUUAACUUAGGUAUAACUAGGACAUCUUUUAGUUUUAAAUUUGAACCUAUAUCCCUAUUUCCAACACGGGUAAUUUUGAGUCGUUUUCCAUCACCUACCAUAACUGAAUUUAAACCUUUGAACAAAGUUGACUUUUUUAGAUUACCUGUUGUAUGUACCAUAUGGUGAGUUGCUCCGGAAUAGAGAUUGUUGUCUGAUGGCUCAUUGAUAGUUAAGGCCAAAAGUCCUUGUGGUGUUUCUUGUUGGGAUUGAUAGGAAUAAUCCCACCUAUAAAAACAAGAGACCGCUAUGUGAUUAUUUCUUCCACAGACUUGGCAUGGAUUUAUUUGUGACAGAAAGCUUUUCUCGGUAUCUCUCAGAAACUUCCAGGUGUGUAGUUAUUGAACUUAGGCAUGUACUGACCUCUUCCUCUUGAUUGUCCUCUUCCUCUAAAGGAGUUUCCUCUACCUCGACCAAAUGAUCCUUGUGUUUUCUGAGCUUGAAAAGCCCGGGCAUCAUUGACAUGAUGUUUCUGUUGAAGACUUUAAGCCAUUUGGCGUUAAAGUAGAAGAAGUGUGAAUUGGAAAUAGAGGGAAAUAAAAUGGAGGGAGAUUGAAAAUUUGAAGAAGUGAACUUUUGUCUUGCACUUUGUCCCUCAUUGGCGAGGGAAAACCACAUUUGUUAUAUAGAAUCACUUCUUAAAGCUCUUAAAAGGAGUUGAAGAGAAUGAACCCUCGCACCGUCGUCGUCGCUCGCUCGGCUCGACUUCGGAUUUGGAAUUGGAUUUGUUCGAUCUAUAAGAUUAUUUUUGGACAAAAUUUAUUUAAUUAUUUAAUAAUUAAUUAAAUGUCAAAUCAUUGUUGAAAAUAUGCCAGGACCCUGCGCAAAGUUCAGAGAACAUAGCUGGCCGCGUUUCUGCCGCGACCGCGACAGUUAGUUUCAGAGAGCAUCUGUGAUCGCGGUUCUGACGCGAUCGCGAUAGAACCACGGUAGGCUGCGUAUUUCUGAAAAAGCACCUUUUUUCAGACACCUCUUCUGAUAUUUGCCUAUAAAUUCUUAGGCAUGGCUGCAUCUUAAACACACGAAAAACACUCCAGAACUUCUUUCUUUCUGAAUAUACUACAUCUUAAUUCGCAGUUACUCUCUCUCAAAUUCGUAAGUGUGAUUUUGCUCUGUUCUUUGAGUUCAUUAAUAUCUUGCAGUUUUUAUUGACACUGUUGCAGGAAGGUUUAUUCCGUUUUAUCUUGGGAGGAUUUAAUCCACUACCUUGGCACUUUGUGAGGGGGUUAAAAUUCCUUAAGGACACACAAGAAACUUGUGGACUCGGAAUAUUUGUAAUUCUCUACUAUUUUCAGAUUUCUUUAAUUCUUUUAACAGUUUUCUGAUUUUUGUUUCAACACAGUAAUGCUCACAAGCAUAAGGAAUUUUUAGUACUAACGUUUCUGUGUUGAUUAUUAAACU